rnacentral:lncRNA from 1 species
CGUGGGGAGAGCCUCUGCCGCUUCUUCUUCUUUGUGUCCCCCAGCCGGGGGGAGGAGACAAAAUCUAGUUUCAGACUCCACCCCCAACCUCGGGACACUCUGCUUCUUCUAGGUGGAAGCCCAGGAGACCCAGCAUGUCCCAGGAGAUGAGGGCCCCAGAGGAACUCAGUCCCAGCCCCUGGAAACCCGUUUCAUUGUUUCCACAACAGCACCAGCCCAGAAACAAGGCAGGAGACUCAACGGGGAGGCAGACUUUGCCAAGUCGCUUUCCUGUCUCAGGGACCUCGGCCUCUUUCCAACUUAAGAUCAAAGAAUUUUCAGAAUAUAAGAGCCCCUGGAAACGACCUGGUGCAAGCUCCUUGAUGUACAAAAGUGGAAAUCGGGGCCCAGAUGGAGAUCCCCUCAGGACAGAUCACUGCCCAGCCUCAUCUUCCAGGCUCGAACUUGCCCAUGUGCAGUUUCCUCCUGUUGGUUCCAGUCAUCUGUCAAUUGUCCUGGGAAGGCAAGGAGCUCAAGGGUGAAUGGCAGGAGAUUCUGAUUCCUCCUCCUGAGUGGGCUCCGUCCUGCCCACUUGGCCCCAUCUCAGAACUGACCUGGGUGUGAGUAUGUCUCUGCUCUAGAGGACAGACACUAGACACUAGCCUGGGGCUAUAGGAAGUCACAGGGGCAAAGCUUAGCAGACAGCGUCCUCUGAGCAUAGCCAAAAAAACCCCGAACUUGGAACUCAGUGCUGGGAUUCUAGGAGCUCCAUUUCCAGGAAUCAAAUCCUAAGGGGGAAAAUUUCAGAAUGUGAAAAAAGAUGGACAUGGGGGAAUUUAUAAUAGUGAAAAUCUGGAAACAAUCUAGAAGUCUAGCAAUAAUUGAAAGGUUAAACAUAUGCUCUGAUGGUGAAAUAUAGUACCGUCAUUAUUAUGUUUGCAAAGAGUUGUUAUUAACAUGGAAAAGUGUUAAGUGAAAAAGAACAGAAUAUAAAACCAUAUAUGUAGUAUGACCAUAACUAGAAAAAAAUACAUAAAGACUGGGAAGAAAUAGACUGAACACUAAAAGUGGUUGACUUGGGGUAGAAAGAUUAAAAUUUUUCUUGGCUUAUACUUUCCUGACAACAAAGGUCUGCCUAGUCAAAGCUAUGGUUUUUCCAGUAGUCAUGUAUGGAUGUGAGAGUUGGACUAUAAAGAAAGCUGAGUGCCAAAGAAUUGAUGUUUUUGAACUGUGGUGUUGGAGAAGACUCUCGAGAGUCCCAUCGACAGCUAGGAGAUCCAACCAGUCCAUCCUAAAGGAAAUCAGUCCUGAAUAUUCACUGGAAGAACUGAUGCUAAAGCUGAAACUCCAAUACUCUGGCCACCUGAUGCGAAGAACUGACUCAUUGGAAAAGACCCUGAUGCUGGGAAAGAUUGAAGGGAGGAGGAGAAGGGGACAACAGAGGAUGAGAUGGUUGGAUGGCAUCACCGACUCAAUGGACAUGAGUUGAGUAAGAUCUGGGAGCUGGUGAUGGACAGGGAAGCCUGGUGUGCUGCAUUCCAU